GAGGAAUAUUGGUCAAUGGACGAGAGUCUGAACCAGCCAAGUAGCGUGAAGGAUGACUGCCCUAUGGGUUGUAAACUUCUUUUAUAAGGGAAUAAAGUGAGGGACGUGUCCCUUUUUGUAUGUACCUUAUGAAUAAGGAUCGGCUAACUCCGUGCCAGCAGCCGCGGUAAUACGGAGGAUCCAAGCGUUAUCCGGAUUUAUUGGGUUUAAAGGGAGCGUAGGUUGACAUAUAAGUCAGCUGUGAAAGUUUACGGCUCAACCGUGAAAUUGCAGUUGAUACUGUAUGUCUUGAGUGUACAAGAGGUGGGCGGAAUUCGUGGUGUAGCGGUGAAAUGCUUAGAUAUCACGAAGAACUCCAAUUGCGAAGGCAGCUCACUGGGGUACAACUGACACUGAGGCUCGAAAGUGUGGGUAUCAAAC
rnacentral:rRNA from 1 species